UUAAAAUUCAUUAGGGUUGGAAGGAAUGGAGUAAGAGCACUUUUCUGCAGGGAUGAACCAUGGGGGUGGGCACCUGCACCGAGGGUCCCUUGCCUACCCUAGGCCACUGCACACCUCUAUGCCUUGCAGUGGGGAAGCCCAUCGAGGUACAGAAGACGCUGCAUCCCUCGGAGGAGGAGGUGAACCAGCUGCACCAGCGUUAUAUCAAAGAGCUGUGCAACCUCUUCGAGGCCCACAAACUUAAGUUCAACAUCCCUGCUGACCAGCACUUGGAGUUCUGCUGAGCCCAAAGGGCAGGGCCAACAUUAGGGAGCCCAGCAGGAGGUGCUGUGCUGAGAAGACUUCCUGGAGGUGUUUGUUGAACAUAUCUGCAGAGCCUUCCCAGACUCCUGCAAAUCCAACCCAUAUCAGGCUGUAAGUCAGAGCAGGCAAUGCAGAAGAGGAGACCAGACCAAGGGGUCAGCUGGGGCUAGGACAGUGAGGGCUGCUAGAGGGGCUGGGCCUCUCUUUGCACAUGGACACUGGGCCCCUCUCUAUAUUGAGUGGUCUGUUAACAUUCAUUGGUGGCUGAUUCCAAAAGAUGAGAGCCAAAGCUGCACGGACUCGAGUCCUAGGCUGCACACCUCACAAGCAUCUCUUCUACUGCAUUCUGUUGGUCGAAGCAAGUCACAACCCAGCAGAUUCAAGGAGUAAGGAAUAGGAUCCCCCUCUGGAUGGGAGGAGCAGCAAUGUCAUAUUACAAAAGGGUGUGGACACAUGCAGGGAUUCUUACUGCCGUCUUUGCAAACAAUCCACCAAAACUUAAAAACUAAAAGCCUGAAGCACAAGCACUCUCCACCCCAGGCACACACACCCUGGAAUUCCCUGUGUGACCAUGGUACCACCACUGUGUGUCCCGAGGAUCCCAGCUCAGCUUUGCAUCGCUGCCCUAUCUCCCUCUCGCUCUCCCCUGUUGAUCCCUCAUGCACAGCCACAGCGAGCUGUCUAAAACACAAAGCUGACCGCGCCAUUUCCUACUCAGCAUCCUUCCAUGACCCUCCAUUGCUCCUAGGAUAGGGUUUGGACCAGUCUGAAUCCAGAGGAUCAGGAUCCAGCAGGAACCAGAGGAUAAUUUGAGGAGGGUUUAAAAAGGAACCAUUUUUUGAGGUGUGUGCACUGUUUCCACCCUGAGGCCUGGAAGGAUGAAUGGAAGCAGCAGUUCCUGAACCAGGAAGACUCAUGUGUGGGGGCCAUUGCUGGUCAAGGGGCACGAACAGGUCUGGUGACCCUGCAAGGGAGGAGCCAGGAGCAAGCAUUCCCACUUCACCUUCCUCCAUUCAGUCUGCUGCCAAGUUCCCCACUGCCUGAGCCCAACUAGAAGCUGGAGGGAAGGAGGGCCUGUGGCUGCAGUCCAGGCAUGUAGGCCUCCUGGGAAAGGGAGAAUGGCAAAGACAGGCAGAGUGGAUCUGGAGGGGUCAACGGAAGACGGAACAUGUCCACUUCCAGGCCCGAGCUUCUCAGCCUGCCGUUUGCCACUCUCCAGCAUCUGGCCCAGCCUGUCCAUCCUCAUCUCUCUUCCUCCCUUACUCCGUGCUCCCAUCACUCGGAACCAUUUGCAUUUCUUUGUCUCAGCUAUAUUGUCUCACCUCUGAGUUUUUGCCCAUGAUGUUGGAUGCCAUGGAAUGCCAUAUCCUCCCCAUUAUCUCCCCCUUGUCUGGAUAAUUCCUACUCAUCCUACAAUACUGAUUUUAUCUGUGCAAAGAAGUCUUCCCCAGUGCCUCUGGUUGACAGGGGUUUCCUCUGGCUUCUCCAGACUUUCUGUUCCUCCACCACAGCCCUUAGCACCCUGGGGAGGAGGUGUUGCUGUCCAGGUAAAUGCUGCGCCAAUGCCCCUGCCUCUAGUGCACUCCCUCCAGCCUACCCACAAACAGGACCUGCAUCCUGUCUCACAAAUAAAACUGAACUCUUGAAAUGGUG
rnacentral:lncRNA from 1 species